rnacentral:lncRNA from 1 species
UAGUUUUAGUUCAAUUUCAAAUAUUGGUAGAUUCUUAUCAUCAAUUCAAAUUAAAUUUAAAUUAAAUUUUGAAUUAAAUUUUAUCUUCAUCUUAAGAACUUAGAGAGGGGCUGACCAACAUCAGAAUAGCAUAAAAAAAUUCACAUAAAAAUACUUUGUACGUGAAGAAAGGUGGUGGCAUGAAGAGAAGAGUCCAACUCAAUUUAGACUCUAGGUUUUCAUUCAAAUUCAAACCCAUUU